rnacentral:rRNA from 1 species
UACGUAGGGUGCAAGCGUUGUCCGGAAUUAUUGGGCGUAAAGAGCUCGUAGGCGGUUUGUCGCGUCGGGAGUGAAAACAUCGGGCUUAACUCGAUGCUUGCUUUCGAUACGGGCAGACUUGAGGUAUGCAGGGGAGAAUGGAAUUCCUGGUGUAGCGGUGAAAUGCACAGAUAUCAGGAGGAACACCGGUGGCGAAGGCGGUUCUCUGGGCAUUACCUGACGCUGAGGAGCGAAAGUGUGGGGAGCGAACAGG